GAUCAUGGCUCACGAUGAACGCUAGCUACAGGCUUAACACAUGCAAGUCGAGGGGGCGAGCAUGGUCUUAGCUUGCUAAGGCCGAUGGCGACCGGCGCACGGGUGAGUAACACGUAUCCAACCUGCCGUCUACUCUUGGACAGCCUUCUGAAAGGAAGAUUAAUACAAGAUGGCAUCAUGAGUCCGCAUGUUCACAUGAUUAAAGGUAUUCCGGUAGACGAUGGGGA
rnacentral:rRNA from 1 species